rnacentral:rRNA from 1 species
UACAGAGGGGGCUAGCGUUGUUCGGAAUUACUGGGCGUAAAGGGCGCGUAGGUGGCCUGUUAAGUCGAACGUGAAAUCCCCGGGCUCAACCCGGGAACUGCGUCCGAGACUGGCAGGCUCGAAUCCGGGAGAGGGAUGUGGAAUUCCAGGUGUAGCGGUGAAAUGCGUAGAUAUCUGGAGGAACACCGGUGGCGAAGGCGGCAUCCUGGACCGGUAUUGACGCUGAGGCGCAAAAGCCAGGGGAGCAAACGGG